CGCGGUGCUGGAGCGCGGCCGAGCGCCGGGGAGCGGCGCACCUAAAUCUCCCCUGCCUGUCCCUCCAGAGAUGUCCCCCUUUAUUCACAACUGCUUUUUAAUUGCCUUUUGUCAAUUACAGCAAGAUGGAUCGGGUUCCUCAGGGAGGCAGUAAUUAGCGCGGGGAUGAAUGCCGAGGCAGCCAAGCUCCCUCUUCACACGGCGGUGGUGAUUUGUAAACCUGUCACCAAACCGCUGAACCCGGCUUGGCGUGAGCAGCUCCAUCUCUGCAGCACGUGGCUGUGCGGCUCAGGUGAUGGGUGAGGCUCAGGGUGAGGGUGAGGCUCAGGAUUAGCAGCAGAGGGGUCUGGAUCCCAGGCGGGGUUGCCCUGCCUCACCUGCAGUGCCCGCACCGCCGCUCUCCUGACUCCCUUCCACCCUCCCACUCUGCUUCGUGGCUUUCGUCUAAUUCCCUACGCCCCUCUCCUAUUUUUCUUCUUGACAGAAGAAGCAGGCUCAUGCAUCUAGAAACUCUACGGCCUUUCUUGUAGCUGCAGAUUAAAUUUCCUUGCUCAGUGCCUGCUGGCCACAGGCCGUGCCACUAUACCUGGGUGUACGCCCCAUCCCCAGCCCGGGGGGAGAGGUUCUGUGCAGGGCAUGGGGACAUCCCUGCACUGUUUGGGGCCACACCAGAGCUCAGCACCAGCUUCCCCAGCCCCUGUAUCUCUUGCUCUACUCUGCCCUUGACCCUGGGGAGGGUGCAGCACGUGGAGGGAGCCCGGCUGUUCUAAUUAAACCAUGUUUGCCAACUCCCGUGGUAAGCAUCGCUAAUUAAAAUUAGGGAGAGCAGCACUGCCUUCCGUGCCUCCUGGAGACGUGAACAAGUUCCCUGCGUGCUGCCCGGGCUCAGAGGGCGCUGGGGGCUGCACAGCACUGCAGGCAGAGCCCAUGGGGCAGCAGGGCCAUGGGGUGCCGUGGGACUGCUGGUGCUGACCCCUCCAUCCCCACGUGGCGUGACUGCGCCCCGCAGCCCAGACACGCUCUUUUCAUGCUUGAACCAUUGGCCUAACGAUUUCACGUUUUUUCCCCAUUUUCCUGUAUUAUUAUUUGUCGUUGUUCCUGUUGCAGUUCAGUGACCAUGAAUUAUUGAAUGUCUGCUCGUUCAGUAACUCUUUACUUCCACCUCGGCACACUGCAGCCUCGCAGCUGCACAGGACGGCCGCCAGCACCGCUCCCAGCCUGGAAUAUCUGCAGCCCCCAUCCCACUGCCC
ensembl:lncRNA